rfam:Pseudomonas putida CSV86 contig00036, whole genome shotgun sequence.
CGAUGAGGUCUUGAGAAAUUGCUGGGCUGUGUUAGUGUCAGUCUCACACCGGCCAUCUGCCGAACAUUCGAAAACCCCGCCCUUGGGCGGGGUUUUGCUUUAUG